CAUUUAACAUUGAGUAGCAAAGGAUCAACAUUUGUUCCCCAUAUAUACCCCCUUCACAACCACUGAAGCUUCUGGAGAGUAAAUUGAGAUUUUAGGGUUUCUGCAAAACCAGCAGAACAACAUAACCAAGAAAGAUGAUUUACGACGUGAAUUCAACUCUCUUCAGAUCCUUCCUCAGCCAGAAAGGAGGAGCGGAUAAAAGGAGAAUGGAAGACCAGCCUAAACAGCAGAGACCAAAGGCCAAUGAGAACAAGCCUGUGAUGAAUGAGUAAUGAACAAGUAGUAACAAGUACAGAAGUAUGGGAUACACAUGAAGGAUGUACUAGUUUUUUUUUCCCUUCUUUUUGGAUUCUACAAUAGCUAAAACAGUAUCUAUUUUGUGUCUGGAUUUUUAUGUUGGUGUUUUGUUAUAGACCCUCUCAGGAUUCAUGGCCUUAAAAGUGAAUGCUUGGUUUUCAGCUUGAAUGUCUUGCAUUUUAUGGUUCUACAACGAUCUUCCCAACCUCCCAUCAUCUUAGCCGAAGCUUGUUCUGCCUCUGCAAGUGGAUACUUGGAGUCGAUUACUGUCGUCAACUUUUCUUCUUUAACGACUUUGUCAUCGUCUUACCAUCAGGUUCCUUGUUCAAAGAGGUUCUCUUUACAUGUUAAGGAUGUGAUUUUACUUGUGACACAGUUUAUACUUGCACCCUGAUGGGCUCGUCAACAUUUUAUCAUCUUCUGUAGUAUAGUCUAGAACUUCAUCUGCACCCAAACUAUUUACAAGAUCGAUGUUUCGAGCUCCA